rnacentral:rRNA from 1 species
AUACGUAGGGGGCAAGCGUUGUCCGGAAUUAUUGGGCGUAAAGCGCGCGCAGGCGGUGGAUUAAGUUUGGUGUUUAAUCCCGGGGCUCAACCUCGGUACGCACUGAAAACUGGUUCACUUGAGUGCAGGAGAGGAGAGUGGAAUUCCACGUGUAGCGGUGAAAUGCGUAGAGAUGUGGAGGAACACCAGUGGCGAAGGCGACUCUCUGGUCUGUAACUGACGCUGAGGCGCGAAAGCGUGGGUAGCAAACAGGAUUAGAUACCCUGGUAGUCCACGCCGUAAACGAUGAAUGCUAGGUGUUGGGGGUUUCGAUGCCCUUGGUGCCGAAGUUAACACAUUAAGCAUUCCGCCUGGGGAGUACGGUCGCAAGACUGAA